rnacentral:piRNA from 1 species
UUUAAUGAUGGAAGUGGAGUAGGCCAAGGA